rnacentral:pre_miRNA from 1 species
GUACUACUCCCUCCGUCCCAAAUUACUCGUCGCUGAAAUGGAUGUAUCUAGAACUAAAAUACAUCUAGAUACAUCCAUAUGUGCGACAAGUAAUUCGGAAUGGAGGGAGUACCUC